UACAUUUAUAGCUUAGGGGUCGAAAGCAAUGGACUCAUAAUUCAUUUUCAAAUAUUUGAUCAUCAGUAGUUCGAAUCUACUUAAAUGUAU
rnacentral:tRNA from 1 species